CAGUCGCCGCGGUAAUACGUAGGUGGCAAGCGUUGUCCGGAAUUAUUGGGCGUAAAGGGCUCGCAGGCGGUUUCUUAAGUCUGAUGUGAAAGCCCCCGGCUCAACCGGGGAGGGUCAUUGGAAACUGGGAAACUUGAGUGCAGAGGAGGAGAGUGGAAUUCCACGUGUAGCGGUGAAAUGCGUAGAGAUGUGGAGGAACACCAGUGGCGAAGGCGACUCUCUGGUCUGUAACUGACGCUGAGGAGCGAAAGCGUGGGGAGCGAACAGGAUUAGAUACCCCGGUAGUCCCUGUCUCUUAUAC
rnacentral:rRNA from 1 species